ACCUGGGAUAGCUCAGUCGGUAGAGCAUGAGAAGACUCUGAAACUCAGGGUUGUGGGUUCGAGUUCCACGUUGGGCA